GACAGAGGGUGCAAACGUUGUUCGGAAUUACUGGGCGUAAAGCGCGUGUAGGCGGCUCGGCAAGUCGGGUGUGAAAGCCCUGGGCUUAACCUAGGAAGUGCACUCGAAACUGCCAAGCUUGAGUUCUGGAGAGGAAGGCGGAAUUCUCGGUGUAGAGGUGAAAUUCGUAGAUAUCGAGAGGAACACCGGUGGCGAAGGCGGCCUCUGGACAGCAACUGACGCUGAGACGCGAAAGCGUGGGGAGCAAACAGGAUUAAGAA
rnacentral:rRNA from 1 species